rnacentral:rRNA from 1 species
AUUGAACGCUGGCGGCAGGCCUAACACAUGCAAGUCGAACGAGUGGCGGACGGGUGAGUAAUGUCUGGGAAACUGCCCGAUGGAGGGGGAUAACUCCUGGAAACGGUAGCUCAUACCGCAUACCAUCGGAUGUGCCCAGAUGGGAUUAGCUCGUGGGUGGGGUAACGGCUCACCUAGGCGACGAUCCCUAGCUGGUCUGAGAGGAUGACCAGCCACACUGGAACUGAGACACGGUCCAGACUCCUACGGGAGGCAGCAGUGGGGAAUAUUGGACAAUGGGGGAAAGCCUGAUGCAGCCAUGCCGCGUGUAUGAAGAAGGCCUUCGGGUUGUAAAGUACUUUCAGCGGGGAGGCGGUACUCGCAGAAGAAGCACCGGCUAACUCCGUGCCAGCAGCCGCGGUAAUAC